rnacentral:rRNA from 1 species
UUAUACUCAUAUAACCCUGAUCAUGCCCAAUCUCAUCUGACCUCAGCAGCCUAAACAGGGUCAGGCCUGGUUAGUACUUGGAUGGGAGGCGGGAAUGGGACAGAGUCUGGC